AUUAGCUACUGAGCUUAGAACUCUUGACCCAUGAGAUUUUUUUUUUAAAUUUUUAUUUUUAUAGAGGCAAGGUCUUGCUAUGUUGUCAGGCUGGUCUCAAGCUCCUGGCCUCAUCAGUUCUCCUGCCUUCCAAGUAGCCGGAACUACAGGUGUGCACCAUUGCACCUGGCCUCAUGAGUAUUUUAGUUAGAUAAGAUUUGUUUGGUUCAGUGGGUCUUAGUUUUUUAAGACCUGUUAAUUUGUAAUUAGACAUCUUGGGCCUUAAACUGUAUUUUUGUUUUAGUGGUGAGGUUGGGUUUUACUUUGUGUAUUCCAGCGUUCUCAACUUUGUCAGAUAUUGCUAGGGACCAGUGAGAUAGAUAAUCCAAAAAUAAUAAUUUGACUUUGGUUGAGUAUGUCAUUACCACAGUGUUAGUUGAAUUGCACUUUAGGUUAGAAAAGUUAAUUUUCACAUCUGUGCUGCGGGUUAGGUGAUAUUGUCCUCAGCACAAUAGAUGAGGAAGAAACUGAAUCAGAACAGUUAAAUGACAGGCUUCCAAGUCAUCCAUGUAGCAAGGAGCACAUUUGCCUCCCAAACUGAUGCUUUUUCUCUAGAACCAUAAUGCCCCCCUAAUUACAUUUCAGUAGCAUAGACCGCAAUGAACUUCCUACUGUAGGGAGACUUGAGUCUGGAAUACAUUCAGAACAAGGUUAACAUUACAGUUCUUAAUUUCCUUUAGGGCAAACAAGAUAAUUAAACUUGGGUUUUGUGAGUCUUUUUUUGAUUUGCAGAUUAUAUAUGGUAACACAAUAAUGGUGGUUUGUUUUUAAGUUUUUUCUCAUCAGGUUUGAUAAUUUAAUGCAAACUUCAAAUCUGGAUGUGAAUAAUAAUAUUUUUAUUAUAGUAUAAUCCAGGUGAGUUUAUAGAAUUUGUGUUUUGUGCUUAUAAACUGUCACCUUCUGAUACUUUUCUUCAUCCCUCUAUUUGAAAAACCCUUGUAGAAUUUAACGAUUUAAUGGAAAAUGUUGCACUUUAUAGAAGGCCAUUUUAGAACUUACAGGUAACCUUUUUGAAGAGCUUAGAUUUGUAGACCACUGUUUAUGCUGAGUGACAUUUCUUUUAAAUGGUUGCAUUUGUCAAAUCUAUAAAGAUGUUUUUUAUAUUGCAGUUUUCUUUUUGUGCUACUUAAAGGAAUCUUUGCAAUGCUGCAUAUAGAUAAUUGUUGACCUUUUUAGUUCAGCAGUUUUUAAACUUGAAGUAACAUCAGCAUUUAUUUGAAUAUCAGGUUUUAGCUAACUGCCUAAUGUACCAAAAAAAAAUUAGCAAUGUCUUAUGUGGGAUGAGGGGUUAAGUUAAAGUUGCUGAUCAAGUAAUGGCCGUGUGGCACAAGAUGAUAACUAAGAAUUUCUGGUUCUAAGGUAGUAAUGCCUUUUGGGAUUUAUAUUUGUUUAAUGUUGAGAUUCUGGGGACCAUAGGUGGGCCUGUCAACUCUUAACAGACUAUAGUAAAGGAGAGAUGGUGGCACAUGUGAGAUAAAACUUGUUUAUAUUUACAUUCUUAUUAGUGGAUAGAUAUCACCUCAGUACAACACUGAAAUUAAACUGCCUUGUUCAUGCUUUCAUGUCUCAAAUCAAGGCCUAAAUGAGUAAAAAGAUGAUUACAGAUUACCUAAAACCCUUAACCAGUUUUGGUUUUUGAUUAUGCAUAUGUGUUGGCUUGCAAUUAGGUUUUUAGUUUCUGUUUAUGUGACUUGUUUGAAAACAUUGGAUUCGUCUUCUCUCCACAGUUUCUACUUGAACCUAGUAGCUUAUUUUAAUUCCCUGUAAGAGGAAAAUAAUAUAGGGAAUCUGUUCAACUAUUCCUUUAAUAAAUCAUGUGACUUGGCCAAUUACAGAAAUUCCUAAGUGUAGUAUUUUGAAAUGUGGCCAGUGUCCCAGAUUUGUAAGGUACAGUGUGCAUACAGUGUGUCUUAGGAUUUUUUUAAGUAAAUUAAGGAUGUUUACCAGAAAUUAUUGAUUUACUGAACCAAGUAUUUAUUUUCAGAAGCCCACUUUUGGGGAAGGUUGCCUAUAUUUUUGAUAGUAAUUAGAUGGAAGAUUAAAUCCUGUUUAACCUGGAUAGAAACAGUUUUAACUAUUGCUGAAGUUAAAAUCACUUUGGGGUGGGGUGGGGUGGCUCAUGCCUGUAAUCCCAGUGCUGUGGGAGGCUGAGGCCAGAGGAUUGCUCGAGGCCAGGAAUUUGAGACCAGCUUGGGCAACAUAGCAAGACCCUGUCUCUACAGAUAAUUGAAAAGUGAGCCAGAUGUGGUGGCGCAUUCCUAUAGUCUCCGUCUCUCAGGAGGCUGAGGCAGGAGAUUGCUUGAGCCCAGGAGUUGGAGGCUGCAGUGAGUUAUGAUCAUACCACUGCACUCUAACCUGGGUGACAGAGUGAGACCCUGUCUCUAAAAAACAAAAAAUUAGAAAACAACAAAAACCACUUCGGUUACUCACUGUCCUCAUGCUUUGAUGUCAGUUGUUCUCCUAAAUUUUAAAAUUUUGUUAUGAAGAUUGGAUGUACACUGAUUUGGCCCUUUAAAUGACAUUAUACCAAGAAGUUGGUAUAAGGGAGUAGGAGAUGAGAAAACUUUUUGAAAAAUCAUUUGGUGCAUGCUAAGGUAGCUUGUAGGACAUGUGGUUUUAAAAAAUUCAUGGAUUUUGAAGAAGGAUAGGGUGGAAGUAAAAUUUAGCUGAUAGCAUAGGGAUCAUUUGUGAUUUAUAUAGAAAAUAAUUAUAUUUUUGAGUGAGAAGCAUCAGACUUAAAUUUUUUUCUUCUAUUUUGGUUAUUACCAAAAGGAACAGAGAAACUCUCAGAAUUCUUUGAAUCAUAGAAUGUUAGUGCUGGAAAGGACUAGGAAGUGACUUGUACAACCCCUUCAUUUUACAAAGGAUCAGAGAGAAUUGGUUAGUAGAGUCCCAAAUCUGCUUUUAGAAGUAAUAUGGUGAUCAUCAGUUUAGAUUCACUGUAGGAAGGGCAGCCCUGUUAAAGUUUGUCAGGAGAAAAAGGGAAGGUAUCACUUUUUGUAUGUUCACCCAGUUGCUUCUGUAGUUUUCAUACCCCUGUUUUCUCAAUUUUCUUAGAACUGUCUUUAAUGGCCCAGCUCUACCAGGGCUUGUUGUCUAAGGACAUUAACUUGUGCUCCCCUCAGGGAUGGGUUUACUACUAGCUGUCAGAAAGCUAUUGGGUAUCCUAAUGUGUUAAUAGCUGAAACUCAGCUGUAAUUUCUCCUAAAUACUUCAGCAUUUUGCAUUCUGUACAUUGUGGUGCUUUUUCCACCUUGUAUUGUUGUAACUGUAAGCUCCUAGGGGGCAGCAAUUUGGUCUUAGGCGUGUACCCUGUUUAGUGCCUGGCAAUGCCAUGUUUAUAUCAAGGUCUUAAUAUUACUUUUGAGUUAUUUCUCCCACUCUUCAUGGAAGUGAUGCUCCAGCCUUGCUAAAACACUGAGGGUCCUCCCGAUAAGCCAGGCAUUGUGAUUCCUUGGCUUCAAGUGCCUUCUGUCUUCCCCGAAGGUCCACUGAGAUCUACAAUCCCCCCUUUCCUCUGAUCUCUUGCCAUGUAAGUAAUUUUUUAAAAGAUCAGUACAAGAGCUAUAUUUUUUCCUAAGAAAAAAUUUCAACAGGAAUGGGGAGUAGCCCCGUUUUGGGGCUGAUCUGUCCAGAAUUUGGAGUGAGGAACAAAUCCAUUCUCAUCUACUUUCCACAUUUUCCCUCUUGUUUGAGGUCCUGUUCCAACCUUCAUUUCUGAAACUGUUCUAGAGCACUUUGUCUUUCUCGUAGUUCAUAACUUACCCCUUCAGUCUAGAAUUAGAAUUACAUUAUCUGUUUUACUACUUUACUAGACUGUAAGCUCCUAGAAGAUAAGGACUAGGGAGUUCAUCUCUGUAUUCCACCAGAAGGUACAGUGACUCAUAACUAGAGUCUUUAGAUGAAACUUACUGAGUUGAAUAACUUAAUAUAUUUCUGUUUUCAUUCCCAAGGGAGGCCAUGUCUGGAGAUAGACCUUGAAUUUAAUAAAUUUUAGGCACUAUACCAUUUCAGUGGAGAAAAUUGUUGGGAAAUUUGGGGGGAUGGAUAUAUAAGGGGGAGGAAGUCACUGGCCAGUUUGAGGUGCUUCCAUUGGUCUGGGUAACUAGCCAUUUCUUCCUGAUUGUGCCUAGUAUAUCCCAGACAGUUUGUUUCUAUGCAGAAGAAUUUUAUAUGAAAUUUUCAUUUCUUUGCAAAAACUUGUUCCUUCUUUCAGUUCAUGACAUCAUCCAUGCUAAAGUCUGAGUCAUCUGCUUCCAUUUUUGUUAUUCCCCACAUCCAGUCUUCAGCUAAGUCCUGUCAGUUCUACCUCAAGUCUUUCCCGUCUUUCUUCCUCACCUAUGUAAUUUCAGUAGUCUCUCAGCUUCACUUAACCUCUUACUCCAGCCUACUUUAUACACAAUGUUAGAUUCAUCUUACUGAAACAUAGUUCUGACCAUGUAUUCCAUGUAUGUGUUCUCUCUCCCCUAUUAGACUGUAAGCUCCUUAUGGGCAGGAUCUGUGUCUGAGUCAUCUUUGUAUCUUGCCUAGCACCUAUCAAUAAAUACUUCUUGAAUG
rnacentral:lncRNA from 10 species